UGGGGAAUAUUGGACAAUGGGCGCAAGCCUGAUCCAGCCAUGCCGCGUGGAUGACGAAGGCCCUAGGGUUGUAAAGUCCUUUCGCACGCGACGAUGAUGACGGUAGCGUGAGAAGAAGCCCCGGCCAACUUCGUGCCAGCAGCCGCGGUAAUACGAAGGGGGCUAGCGUUGUUCGGAAUCACUGGGCGUAAAGGGCGCGUAGGCGGCCACCCAAGUCAGGCGUGAAAAGCCCCGGGCUCAACCUGGGAACCGCGCUUGGGACUGGUUGGCUCGAGUUCCGGAGAGGUGGGUGGAAUUCCCAGUGUAGAGGUGAAAUUCGUAGAUAUUGGGAAGAACACCGGUGGCGAAGGCGGCCCACUGGACGGACACUGACGCUGAGGCGCGAAAGCGUGGGGGAGCAAAACAGGAUUAGAUACCCUGGUAGUCCACGCCGUAAACGAUGUCGGCUAGGCGCUGGGUUCCCUAGGAACUCGGUGCCGCAGCUAACGCAUUAAGCCGACCGCCUGGGGAGUACGGCCGCAAGGUUGAAACUCAAAGGAAUUGACGGGGGUCAUAGC
rnacentral:rRNA from 1 species